UGGGGUGUAGUUUAUUGGUAGAACACUUGCCUCUCACAUGUGAGGUGCUGGAUUCGAUGCCCAGCACCACAU
rnacentral:tRNA from 1 species